GACGGUGGACCGGUGGUAACACGAUUUGGUCAUAAGUUGAGUAAGCUAUAUGUACAGUUGAAAUGGUGCACGCGGAGAUGGUAGCGCUGCCGGAAGCUGGUCCGCACUGUUGUACACUCAGCUUGGCAACGUUUGCGCUGUCAGACGCGGAGCAGUCGUGGCUAGCGAUUGGGGUUGUAAAGUCGAAUGGUCAUAAGUUGCAUAGGUCGUAAGUCGAUCAAUACCUGUAAUGUGUUGAAACAUAAAAAUAUAAAGUUUUUAGAAA